rnacentral:rRNA from 1 species
AAUCUACCUUUUGCUGAGGGAUAGCCCAGAGAAAUUUGGAUUAAUACCUCAUGGUAUUAUUGAUAGGCAUCUAUUAAUAAUUAAAGGUUACGGCAAAAGAUGAGUAUGCGUCCCAUUAGCUAGUUGGCGAGGUAACGGCUCACCAAGGCAACGAUGGGUAGGGGUCCUGAGAGGGAGAUCCCCCACACUGGUACUGAGACACGGACCAGACUCCUACGGGAGGCAGCAGUAGGGAAUAUUGGACAAUGGGCGCAAGCCUGAUCCAGCCAUGCCGCGUGUGUGAAGAAGGCUCUAGGGUUGUAAAGCACUUUCAGUAGGGAGGAAGGCCAGAGGCUUAAUAAGUCUUUGGAUUGACGUUACCUACAGAAGCAGCACCGGCUAACUCCGUGCCAGCAGCCGCGGUAAUACGGAGGGUGCAAGCGUUAUCCGGAAUCAUUGGGUUUAAAGGGUCCGUAGGUGGAUUGGUCAGUCAGAGGUGAAAUCCUGCAGCUCAACUGUAGAACUGCCUUUGAUACUGCCGGUCUUGAAUUAUUGUGAAGUGGUUAGAAUAUGUAGUGUAGCGGUGAAA